rnacentral:rRNA from 1 species
CCUACGGGUGGCUGCAGUGAGGAAUAUUGGUCAAUGGGCGAGAGCCUGAACCAGCCAAGCCGCGUGAGGGAAGACGGCGCUAUGGGUCGUAAACCUCUUUUGUCGGGGAACAAAGGCCGGGACGUGUGCCGGUCUGCGUGUACCCGAAGAAAAAGCAUCGGCUAACUCCGUGCCAGCAGCCGCGGUAAUACGGAGGAUGCGAGCGUUAUCCGGAUUUAUUGGGUUUAAAGGGUGCGUAGGCGGUCCGUUAAGUCAGCGGUAAAAUCGCGGGGCUCAACCCCGUCGAGCCGUUGAAACUGGCAGACUUGAGGCGGCGAGAAGUACGCGGAAUGCGCGGUGUAGCGGUGAAAUGCAUAGAUAUCGCGCAGAACUCCGAUUGCGAAGGCAGCGUACCGGCGCCAGACUGACGCUGAGGCACGAAAGCGUGGGGAUCGAACAGGAUUAGAUACCCUUGUAGUC